GGCAUGAUCAUAGCUCACUGCAGCCUUGAACAAGUGAUCCUCUCGCCUCAGCCACCCGAGUAACUGGGACUAUAGGCAUGCACCAUCACACCAAGCUAAAUUUUCUUUCUUUUUUUUUUUUGUAGAGAUGGGGCCUCACUGUGUUGCUCAGGUUGACCUCAAACUCCUGGCCUCAAGCAAUCCUCCUCAGCCUCCCAAAGUGCAGGGAUUACAGACAUGAGUCACCGUGCCCCACCUGUCUACAAGGCCACUGGAUGCCACUGGCAUUCCACUCUGGUAGAAUGGAAUGAGGCCCAGAGCUGGGUCCUCAGUGAGACCUUCCCUGCAACUGCACAGCAAAAGGUCAUAGAGAAUAAAUCCAGGUGACCCAAACAGAUGGUCAAGCAAGCUCAGCAUCAUUUCUAGUCAAAACAGCAUCUGAUUUCAAAAGGAAUGUAACUGAUCUUCUAAUACGGCUCAUAAACUACCUCCAAAGGACAUUAUCAAAUAGGAUUCCAAGGCAAACACAUGAUGAUAAUGGCAGCACCACAGAAAUCAGGGUAUGGCU
rnacentral:lncRNA from 10 species